rnacentral:lncRNA from 1 species
GAAUUUCUGGCUUCUUUUUAAAAAACUGGGCACUAUGACAAAGUGGGCCCACAUUCCCACGUGGAUACAAGAGGCAGGCGUCCCUUUUAGAUGGGACAGUUUGCCACAGCACUUCUCCCUUCUCCCACUGCUCUUGCAUCCAGUUCACUUCAUCCAUUUAACUCACCUUUCUAGUCCCUGCAGGCGUUUUGAGUUUACAAAUACCACCCUACAUGAUGAGGACCAAGGAAGGUUUCAGCAGGAAAAAAGCCAUAUGAUUAGCUUUGUUUUCAAAAUGUCAGGCAGCCAGAUGGAAGGCAGGAGAAGUGAAGAGUGGUAAGGAGACCAGUGAAAUCCACAAACGCUUAUUCUAUUAAAGAUUAAAACAGGGCUACCAUCACUGCAGUGGGAACAGGGCACCUUUUACCAAAAACUCCCAUAACAGAUGACUUGAAAACCACUGAGUUUAUGCAUCUGUAGGAUAUAUGCAGGAAGAUGAUGAGGGUUUGAAACAAGGCAGUAUGUACAGGGUGGAAAGAAAGGGGCAGAGAAGGAUAAAUAUUUGAAAGGUUUUUGAGGGGAAGAAACUCUCCAACACUGGGUAACCAAUUUGACAAAGGGAACAAGGAGAAAAAAAAGUAUAGGACAAUUUACAGCUUUUUGUCUAUGUCAUUAGGUAGAUAGUGGUGACAUUCAAAAAUAAGGAAAUAAAAGCAGGAACAAGACUAAAGGAAAAUUCAUAAUUCAAUUUAGAAUACAUUGAAUUUGUAGAGUCUACAGACAUG